rnacentral:lncRNA from 1 species
GAGAUUUCCACCUACUGAAAUAUUUCCAUACUUCAUUUCUACUCAGAGAACCUGAAGUCACUUCUAACAGUAUCUCUCAAGACUGAUACAUUUGAGCUCCAUCUGCCCUUCUAACAUGGCAGCCUGGCAACAGUGUCUUGCUAAGCUGGGAAACGUGGUAUGGUGAGAAAGUCUCUAACUUCGGUCAAGACUCAGUUCUGCCACUCUCUAGAAUGACUCUGGGCAAGGUGCUUCAGAGCACUAUCCCAGCAUGGCCUUAUCCUGGACUGCAUGGGGUUCAUUCUUCAUCCUCAAUGGUCAGGAGCCACUUCCAGCAGGUACCCAAGGAGGACAAAGGAUCCAGGCUUCACUUCUCCUGAUGGAGCAAAAGGAGUACCAGGAGAUUCCAGACUGGAUCUCAGACAACACUGGAAGCAUCUCCAGGCUUUCAGAACACCAGAUUAAUCCAUAUGAAUGCCCAAAGGACAGUUCAUUUGUCCUUCCCUGUGACCCUCAUUCUGUCCCAGAUGGACCACGUUAAAGAAGAUGUGGAGUAUGAAGUCUGUCUGAAUACGUGAAAGGACUGACACCAGGGUUGUUGUGAAGCUGUGGGGCCUUUGCUGAGCCAGAGAUAUGGCUUGAAGGGAGAAAAUGAAACAUAGGUUGUGGCUCAGUUCUCAGCUAAGUACCCAGUACCCAGUUGAGUAGAGUAAGCGAGCUGCCCACGCUAGUCAGCCAGAGGAAGACGCAGAUGUCAGGGAAG